UACGUAGGGUGCAAGCGUUACUCGGAAUUACUGGGCGUAAAGCGUGCGCAGGCGGUUUUGUAAGACAGGUGUGAAAUCCCCGGGCUUAACCUGGGAACUGCAUUUGUGACUGCAUAGCUAGAGUACGGUAGAGGGGGAUGGAAUUCCGCGUGUAGCAGUGAAAUGCGUAGAUAUGCGGAGGAACACCGAUGGCGAAGGCAAUCCCCUGGACCUGUACUGACGCUCAUGCACGAAAGCGUGGGGAGCAAACAGG
rnacentral:rRNA from 1 species